CCCCAAGAAGAGGCGGAGAACACGCGGGGCUUGGGCACAGAAAAAUGCACUUGGCGUCACGUCAACUUUCACCUGAGCCUAAAGAACUUGGGGGGAAAGCGCCCCCUCGUGGACGACUGGAAAAUUCCAGUAACAGGGUUAAGGAGGAUCGUCUUGAGUUGCGGCAUGGGAGGUUUGGUUGCAUAAGCUCAGCUGCCCAGCUCGGAGGCUACCUCAUUCCCUCUGCAGCUACCAAACUAUAGGAAAAGGCUCGAAGACAACUGGUUUUGAAAGUAACUGAUUUCCUCUGUAAUUUUAAAUGUUCUGUUCUAUGCAUUAAGAAGUCUUAUUCCUGGGAUGCUUGGGUGGCUCAGUUGGUUAAGCCUGGGAGGGUGGUUGAGACUGAGCCCUGUGGGGGGAGCUCUGGGCUCAGCCCGGAGCCUGCUUAACAUUCUUUCUCCUCUGCCCCCCCCCCCAAUAAAUAAAUCUUUAAAAGCUUUAUUCUAAGAAGAAUGUGCACCUUCUACCCCCCUCCCCAAAUAAAUAAAUCUUUAAAAGCCUUAUUCCAAGAAGCAUGUGCAGGUUUCAGCAGACCACAAAAGGAAUCUUCUGUAGAAAAAAGGUUUGAAAUUUGCAUGCUUGGGAGAAAAGACCCGGUGCACCCAGGAGUGAGGCUGGGGAAGAGAAUGGGGAGAAGAUUCAGAACUAAGAGCUAUGGAACUGGGGAAGAGGAGAAAGGAGAUACAUUCUAGGGACUGGUCCCCACUAAAGACAGCUUGUCUUUCUGGGCCUCCCCUCCAACCUUUGUCUUUCAAAGCAGCCUCUCCCUCUUCCACUGUCUCACUCUUCCACUAUCUGAUUCUGAGAAUUCUGGCAUUUUCUACUAAGCCUACUAGGCCUACAUGAAGUUCGUUCUACCAGCACCAGGAACCUUACAGUUGUCCUUUUGCUAAUCCUCUCUUUUGUAGUCCUAGGAGAGUCUGUGGGUAAGGCAAAACUUUACCCUCUACUGUCUUAGGGACUCCAUAUGGGCUUGAGAAUUAAGUUGACACACGACAGAUUAAUAGGAGAAUAGCACAUUGAUUUUUACAUCAACAUGGAAGGUCCAAUAGGAAAAUGAAAAUCCAAAGUAGUGGGUAGGCCUAAAUGUUUUUAUACUGGGUUGAACAAAGGGAGGCAAUUAUGAAAAAGCAAGACAUAUGGGAAGAUUAAAGGAGGAUAUAAAUUAUUUUAACAAGGUCUGUACCAAUUUCUCUGGGCCCUGACUUCCUGUCUCACAUGACAAGAAUGCUUCUUUCCUCCUGAUGCAGUGAGGGCAUCUUUUACACGCAUCUCCUGCUUUCAGGAAGGAAAAGGGAGCGCGCUCUUCCUGCACCUGCUGUCAGAGGUGUCAGAGCGCUCUUCCUGCACCUGCUGUUUUCCAGGUGCCCUUAGCUCAAAACAAUCCUUAUGUCAAAGUGUCGUAUUUUGGGGUGGCGUAUGUUGCCACUCUUCAAGCUCAAGCAUGGGAAUAUGCCCAGAGAACAGCAUAGUUAGUUCAGAUCUCCUUGUGAUACUGUGGGGUCAACAUGCUGAAAGUGAGUCCAGAAGGUCCAGAUCAUACUUGAUAUCUGUUAAAAAUAAAAACAAAACCCUUCACCUA